AUUCAAAAUAAACUAUAGUCCAACCGAGAGUGAUCUUCGGUGAAUGUUAUCCAACAUGAGUAGUAUUUAUGUUUGUGGACAAGUACCACUAACAUCUUAGUGAAUUAACCUCAACAACUUUGUGAUUCUUUCUUCUUUCCAAAAGAAUAAAGAUUCGAACAUUUCGCCUCCAUACAAUUUUAACAAGAAGGUAUUGGAUCCGGAUCUAACGAUCCAAAGCGUCCAUUUAUGACCAACUCGUAAUUUAUGUUUUAGAGGUAUCACAACUUUAGUUGAGAUUAGUCACUACCUUGCAACCUUUUGGGUUUUAAGCAUCAUUAUUUUCUAAACAGUUAACACUACCAUAUUAUCUCUACUAUAGAGAUAAUUAAUUAGAUUACCAUAAUCCAAUCAUUGAUUAAUAAAGAACAUUGUUUUGUCAAACAAAACAUUUAUCCAUUUCACAUAAUGACGGAAUUUAGUUCCUUAAAAUUGGAAUACAAAGACAAUCUAUGUUUUUCCAAUUUCUUUGGUAGU
rnacentral:lncRNA from 1 species